rnacentral:rRNA from 1 species
AUUGAACGCUGGCGGCAGGCCUAACACAUGCAAGUCGAACGGUAACAGGAAGAAGCUUGCUUCUUUGCUGACGAGUGGCGGACGGGUGAGUCAUGUCUGGGAAACUGCCUGAUGGAGGGGGAUAACUACUGGAAACGGUAGCUAAUACCGCAUAACGUCGCAAGCCCAAAGAGGGGUGCCUUCGGGCCUCUUGCCAUCGGGUGUUCCCAGCUGGGAUUAGCUAGUAGGUGGGGUAACGGCUCACCUAGGCGACGAUCCCUAUCUGGUCUGAGAGGAUGACCAGCCACACUGGAACUGAGACACGGUCCAGACUCCUACGGGAGGCAGCAGUGGGGAAUAUUGCACAAUGGGCGCAAGCCUGAUGCAGCCAUGCCGCGUGUAUGAAGAAGGCCUUCGGGUUGUAAAGUACUUUCAGCGGGGAGGAAGGGAGUAAAGUUAAUACCUUUCCUCAUUGACGUUACCCGCAGAAGAAGCACCGGCUAACUCCGUG